AUUGAACGCUGGCGGCAGGCCUAACACAUGCAAGUCGAGCGGUAACAGGAAGAAGCUUGCUUCUUUGCUGACGAGUGGCGGACGGGUGAGUAAUGUCUGGGAAACUGCCUGAUGGAGGGGGAUAACUACUGGAAACGGUAGCUAAUACCGCAUAAUGUCGCAAGACCAAAGAGGGGGACCUUCGGGCCUCUUGCCAUCGGAUGUGCCCAGAUGGGAUUAGCUAGUAGGUGGGGUAACGGCUCACCUAGGCGACGAUCCCUAGCUGGUCUGAGAGGAUGACCAGCCACACUGGAACUGAGACACGGUCCAGACUCCUACGGGAGGCAGCAGUGGGGAAUAUUGCACAAUGGGCGCAAGCCUGAUGCAGCUAUGCCGCGUGUAUGAAGAAGGCCUUCGGGUUGUAAAGUACUUUCAGCGGGGAGGAAGGGAGUAAAGUUAAUACCUUUGCUCAUUGACGUUACCCGCAGAAGAAGCACCGGCUAACUCCGUG
rnacentral:rRNA from 1 species